AUACGUAGGUGGCAAGUGUUGUCCGGAAUUAUUGGGCGUAAAGCGCAUGUAGGCGGUUUGGUAAGUCGGUCGUGAAAAUGCGGGGCUUAACGCCGUAUGGCGAUCGAAACUGCUGAACCUGAGUGCAGGAGAGGAAAGGGGAAAUCCCAGGGUCGCGGGGAAAUGCGGAGAUAUUAGAAGGAAAACCAGUGGCGAAGGCGGCUUGCUGGGCUGUUACUGACGCUGAGACACGAAAGCGUGGGGAGAAAAUAGGAUUAGAUACCCUAGUAGUCCACGCCGUAAACGAUGAGUACUAAGUGUCGGGUAACCGGUGCUGAAGUUAACACAUUAAGUACUCCGCCUGAGUAGUACGGUCGCAGGGCUGAAACUCAAAUGAAUUGGCGGGG
rnacentral:rRNA from 1 species